UGGGGAAUCUUGCACAAUGGGGGAAACCCUGAUGCAGCGACGCCGCGUGAGCGAUGAAGCCCUUCGGGGUGUAAAGCUCUUUCGGCAGGAACGAUAAUGACGGUACCUGCAGAAGAAGCUGCGGCUAACUACGUGCCAGCAGCCGCGGUAAUACGUAGGCAGCGAGCGUUGUUCGGAAUUACUGGGCGUAAAGAGUGUGUAGGUGGUGUCGUAAGUUUGGUGUGAAAUCUCCCGGCCUAACUGGGAGGGUGCGCCGAAGACUGCGAUGCUGGAGUAUGGGAGAGGAAAGCGGAAUUCCUGGUGUAGCGGUGAAAUGCGUAGAUAUCAGGAGGAACACCUGCGGUGUAGACGGCUUUCUGGACCAUUACUGACACUGAGACACGAAAGCGUGGGUAGCAAACAGGAUUAGAUACCCUGGUAGUCCACGCCCUAAACGAUGCAUACUUGGUGUGAGCCAUUCAGUUGGUUCGUGCCGGAGCUAACGCGUUAAGUAUGCCGCCUGGGGAGUACGGUCGCAAGGCUGA
rnacentral:rRNA from 1 species